GUCCCGGUAGCUCAGUGGAUAGAGCAGCCGCCUUCUAAGCGGUCGGUCGCGCGUUCAAUUCGCGCCCGGGGCACC
rnacentral:tRNA from 1 species